GGAAGUGAUCAUAGCAGCACUAAAGCACCGGAUCCCAUCAGAACUCCGAAGUUAAGCGUGCUUGGGUGAGAGUAGUACUAGGAUGGGUGACCUCCUGGGAAGUCCUCGUGUUGAAUUCC
rnacentral:rRNA from 1 species